ensembl:rRNA 5S_rRNA 5S ribosomal RNA
GUCUACGGCCAUACCACCCUGAACACGCCCGAUCUCGUCUGAUCUCGGAAGCUAAGCAGGGUCGGGCCUGGUUAGUACUUGGAUGGGAGAAAACUGUUUAGUUCUUUGGCCC